rnacentral:lncRNA from 1 species
AAUUUCAUGCUUCCCCAAAAUAUUUGGAAAAUAUUAGAAAUCAUCUGAUAGACGUUUAGCUUAACAAUAAUAACAGCUUAAACCUUGUAGGGAUACAUCUAAACACCCAGGCAGGAUACUUUAAAAAAAAGCAGGACCAAUCUCAUAGGCCCUGCAUCUCUAGCUGGUUGAAUACUUUUGUAGAUUGGCUCCUAUCCUAAAAACAUGUGGUAUGUUAUUGAAAUGAUAUGUUUGCUACUAAUUCUUUUUAUGUCAUAAUAGAUCAUGACGCCCUCAGAUCAAGGAUCCAGUGACUUGAAGUUAUAAAUUAAGAAUGGGGGAGCCGUCAUUGGGUUACCUGUGGGUCUCCAUGCACGGAAGCCUCAUGGAUGAAGACAUCUGGUGUCUGGAAUGACCAGUGGACAUUUCCACUGGCCAAUUGCCCAGGGACAAUGUGAAUCUCUAUCCCACUCUGCCAGGGACCACAGAGCAUCCAAGAUGGGUGUGACCUGCCAAGAUGUCAAUCACCUUGCUAACUGCAAGACAUCAGGAAGCAUCACUCUGCCCUUGAAACCUUAUCUCUGCCUUUGAUGUACCUACCCCCUUAAAUAAACCACAGGAGCCAUUUUUCCUUUGUCUAGUUCCAGAAUCCAUGUGGACUAGAUAUAUCAGGGGCUUCACUUUCUGUAAAUAUAUUUCUGUGUAUUUGUGCUUUGUUAUUUUACUAAUUAUUUGAGAUUGUAGUUUUAGGGUGGCUUGGAUUAUUCUGGGUAGGAAGAAGACCCCUUUAAUGAGAUGCUGGCCAUCGUCCUCCCC